GUGGGGAAUUUUCCGCAAUGGGCGAAAGCCUGACGGAGCAACGCCGCGUGAGGGAUGAAGGCCUCUGGGCUGUAAACCUCUUUUCUCAAGGAAGAAGAUCUGACGGUACUUGAGGAAUAAGCCACGGCUAAUUCCGUGCCAGCAGCCGCGGUAAUACGGGAGUGGCAAGCGUUAUCCGGAAUUAUUGGGCGUAAAGCGUCCGCAGGCGGCCCUUCAAGUCUGCUGUUAAAAAGUGGAGCUUAACUCCAUCAUGGCAGUGGAAACUGUUGGGCUUGAGUGUGGUAGGGGCAGAGGGAAUUCCCGGUGUAGCGGUGAAAUGCGUAGAUAUCGGGAAGAACACCAGUGGCGAAGGCGCUCUGCUGGGCCAUAACUGACGCUCAUGGACGAAAGCCAGGGGAGCGAAAGGGAUUAGAAACCCUUGUAGUCC
rnacentral:rRNA from 1 species